CGCGUAGGCGGGUUUGUAAGUCAGAGGUGAAAUCCUGCAGCUUAACUGCAGAACUGCCUUUGAUACUGCAGAUCUUGAGUUUGGAAGAGAGAGACGGAAUUCCAGGUGUAGUGGUGAAAUACGUAGAUAUCUGGAAGAACACCAGUGGCGAAGGCGGUCUCUUGGUCCAUAACUGACGCUGAGGCGCGAAAGCGUGGGGAGCAAACAGGAUUAGAUACCCUGGUAGUCC
rnacentral:rRNA from 1 species